UUGGGAAACUCAUCAAAUUUAAAUGAAAUACCGAGAACAUCUGCCGGAGGCAAUGGCGGGCCCCCACCUCAAGGUGCAGUCUUUAUGACACAGGCGGAUUACAAAGCGCCGGCGGAACUCAAAUCCUGUCUAUCGGAGUUUCAUCACAAUAACUUUGGUGUGGUCCU
rnacentral:sRNA from 1 species